AUUGUGGUGCUGCCAUCACCACCACCGCGAUGGUGUGACGAGAAUAUCUACGGAAUGAACACUGUUAACGAGUCGAACCAAAUCCAAUCACGAGACACGUGACUCUCCCCCAC